UGCAAGUCGAGCGGUAGAGAGAAGCUUGCUUCUCUUGAGAGCGGCGGACGGGUGAGUAAUGCCUAGGAAUCUGCCUGGUAGUGGGGGAUAACGUUCGGAAACGGACGCUAAUACCGCAUACGUCCUACGGGAGAAAGCAGGGGACCUUCGGGCCUUGCGCUAUCAGAUGAGCCUAGGUCGGAUUAGCUAGUUGGUGGGGUAAUGGCUCACCAAGGCGACGAUCCGUAACUGGUCUGAGAGGAUGAUCAGUCACACUGGAACUGAGACACGGUCCAGACUCCUACGGGAGGCAGCAGUGGGGAAUAUUGGACAAUGGGCGAAAGCCUGAUCCAGCCAUGCCGCGUGUGUGAAGAAGGUCUUCGGAUUGUAAAGCACUUUAAGUUGGGAGGAAGGGCAGUAAAUUAAUACUUUGCUGUUUUGACGUUACCGACAGAAUAAGCACCGGCUAACUCUGUGCCAGCAGCCGCGGUAAUACAGAGGGUGCAAGCGUUAAUCGGAAUUACUGGGCGUAAAGCGCGCGUAGGUGGUUAGUUAAGUUGGAUGUGAAAUCCCCGGGCUCAACCUGGGAACUGCAUUCAAAACUGACUGACUAGAGUAU
rnacentral:rRNA from 1 species